ACGCCCCGGGCCACGGCGUUGCCAUAUGUCCACCUAACAGGGGCUGGCAGCUCCUUGCUGCUUUGUACUCUCUCCUUACAGAUCAAACAUGCAAGAUAUCCUCCCCCCCUUGCUCCCCCUCCCCUCUUGUAGACCCCACUGCUCCCCCUCCCCUCCAGACUUUUGUGGUGAUUGCGUUGCAAAAUGUAGAUGAGAGCACUCGCUGAUGCAACACAGCGUCUCCACCAAAAUCUAUUUUCCACUUUAGUUAAUGGAUAAUGGAUUAGGUUUUGGUUUCCACGGCGUUCUUUUUGGGCCAAGAAAGAUUGGCUCUUCGCUCGACUUUAUUUGCAGGGAAGAACUUUGCCUGUCGUGGCUCCGAAGGUUGCACGCCUCUACAGAGUGAAAAAAGGCCAUGAAGGGGGGAAAAAGCAUGAGAGAGGUCACGCAAAAGUCUCAUUCAUCUGCCGCUGCACCCCGCCAGAUCUCAUCGUAGCAAAAUCCCCGCCACAGAGAGGAUAAGACUCCACAUACUUAUGGCUGUAGGUAUUGUACUUUCACAUUCCAAUCUGGCAGCUCCAUCCGUUUGGAGGAAGAAUGGAGAGGCCCUCGGCCCGACCCCUGAGAGGUUUCGAGUAUGCCGGGCUCCCGCCGUCUCUUGGCGAACUGCUUCGCAUUCAGCUCGGGCCUCACGAGGAGGCGAGGUCUGAAGUGUACGUAGAGUUGGACGGCAGCCAGACAAAUGGCUGAAAGAAGCAGAGACGAACGGGCGAGCCAUCGGGGAAACAAUCGGCCGCCUUUCGUCCCCCUCGUCGUCUCGAGAGAGAGCGGCGCCUCUUUACGGCACGAUUUCCUUUUAUGUUUGCAGCUGAGUCAUGUUGUUUCCUCUGCUUUUUAUUGCUUAAGCUUCCAGCGAGAAUCACGGCCGGCCGGCCAUGUUGCGCUUUUGCAGACUUGGAUUGAUUUUAGCAUUAACAGCCCCUCCCCCCCCCGCUCUGAAGCACCAACACGGAUCAACUGGCUUCUCCUGCUCCUUGAAGACAACACGGUUUCAAGUUCAGACAAUGCGCUCGAAUGUCCAGAAUAUUGCAGAUGGAUGCGAGAAAGGAGGCUGUACCCCCCCCCCCUCCUAAACGAAAGCUAAAAAAGACAAGAAGCUACAACGUUUAUAUUUGUAGUCGAUUUUAUUUGCGCCGAGUGUGGAGUAGAAGCGGAACAAACAGUAAGCAAAUAAAGGGAAGUCCAUCUUAGCUCUCCUCUUCCGAAUCAUUGUCACGUCAAAUAACGUUGUAGUGCACAGUACAUGUGUUUUUGUACAGUUUGUUUGUUGCUCUUUGUCAAUGGAGCUCGAUGAUGACGACAUCUUUUUAUUUUUUAAAGUAGACGACACAGCGCGGUGUUUUCAUUUCGCGCGGAUAUCUUACAUCAUCCGGAACUGAAAAUGACAGCAGCUAUGUCAACGUGAUUUCAGCUGGGACAUAAAAAAAAAAAAAAAAAAAGGAUCACAUUUGGAAUGAUUGCCUGAGUGUACCUAAUCAAGUGGCCAGCCAUGGAGUUUGAACCGGGGGGAAUGCAAGUGCGCCAUCUACGGUUGAAAACCAAGACGAACGACUUUGCUGCGGCACGCCGAUCAUCUUGCUCGAAUUUACAAAGGACGAGGAGAACAUUGGACUCAACAGAGAAAUGUUGACAGCUCCAUUUUUUUUUUCUUUU